rnacentral:rRNA from 1 species
CUGGUGCCAGCAGCCGCGGUAAUUCCAGCUCCCAUAGCGUAUAUUAAAGUUGUUGCAGUUAAAAAGCUCGUAGUUGAAUUUCGGAAUCUGUCCGUCGGUCGGGCUUCACUGUCCGCACUGGUGUGAUGGGUUUCUACCUUCUGAAUGAACCGGCAUGUCUUUAAUUUGGUGCGCCGGGGAAGCGAAACUAUUAC